GGUUUCCGUAGGUCCUACCUUAACGACCCCCCCCCCAAAUUUCCCUCCCCCCCCCAGGAGCCUCCCGACCCCCCGGCGGGGCGGAAACGUCACCCGCCGCCGUCCCCGACAGCGAUCCAGAUGUGCCCGAUCCAGAUGCGGACGCUGGCGGGGGGAGCGGACGCCGCAAGCCCCGCCCCCGGCCAGAUGUGCGCCGGCCGGAGGCGGGGGGGCAGCCGGGGGCCGGCAGCAGCGCGGAGGUGCCAGAUGUGGCCCCAGAUGUGCCCUGGGGGACGAAGGCGGCGGCGGCGCCGCUCCUGGCCCUGCGCCUCGACAGCGAUACAGAUGUGGAGGAGGCGCCGCCCCAUCCAGAUGUGCGGCCCCGCCCGGCCCCUCCCGCCUCGAGCGACAGCGAUACAGAUGUGGAGGGCGUCGCCCCCAGUGCAGCUCGUCGUCCAGAUGUUUCCGCCACCCAAAACGGCCGCCGCACGCCCGGCAGCGAUACAGAUGUGGAGGGCGGGGCGGCGGGUCCAGAUGUUGCGGCGCCGGGCCUCACCGUGGACAGCGACACGGACGCGGAGGAGCCGGGGGCCGCUCCAGAUGUGCACCGCCCCCUCCCGCCCCAGCUGUGCGGCGCCUAUCCAGCUGCUGCCCGGGCCGCUCCAGAUGUGCGGCGCCCGCCCGCCCCGGAUUCGGGCAGCGACACAGAUGUGGAGGCCGCCCCGGCCCGCCCAGAUGUUACCCAGAGCCCGUCGGACAGUGACAGCGAUACAGAUGUGGAGCUGGUGGCCCCCACCCCCGACCUCUGCCGCCCCUGGGGCCAACAGCUGGAACGGGCUCCAGAUGUUGCGCCCCCAAGAUGGCCGCCGCAGGGGGCUCCAGAUGUGGAGGAGGAGGAGCUGCCCGAGACGCAGCUCUUCGUCCCCGAGCCAGAUGUGGGCGGCCACGACGCCCUUCCAGAUGUUGCCGCUGCCCCCAAUCCAGCUGUGCAGGAGGGCGGCGACGAUCCAGAUGUUCUGCCCCAGACGCAGCUCUUCGCCCCCGGGGCGGGGCCGGGCCUUGGGGCGGGGCCGGGGGCCGGCCUUGUGGAGGCCCCGCCCCCCACGGAGGCCCCGCCCCUGCCCCCCGUGGGGCCCCGGAGUCCGGGAGCGGGGGAGGAGAACGCCGGCGACGCCGAGGACGACCCCGAGCUCUUCCUGGAGGCGACGCAGAACUUCCUGUUGCCGGCGCCCGGCCUCGAGGGAGCCGCCGAGGAGCCGCCAUCGUCCGUCGGCGCCUUCGGCCUCGCCGAGGAGGAGGAGGAGGCGGAGCCACGGCAGCCGGCCCCGCCCCCGCCCCGCCCGG
rnacentral:lncRNA from 1 species